CCUACGGGAGACUGCAGUGGGGAAUAUUGGGCAAUGGGCGCAAGCCUGACCCAGCAACGCCGCGUGAAGGAAGAAGGCUUUCGGGUUGUAAACUUCUUUUAGGAGGGAAGAGCAGAAGACGGUACCUCUUGAAUAAGCCACGGCUAAAUACGUGACAGCAGCCGCGGUAAUACGUAGGUGGCGAGUGUUGUCCGGAUUUCGUGGGUGUAAGGGGCGUGUAGCCGGGCUGACAAGUCAGGUGUGAAAUCCGGGGGCUCAACCCCAGAACUGCAUUUGAAACUGUUGGUCUUGAGUAUCGGAGAGGUAGGCGGAAUUCCUGGUGUAGCGGUGAAAUGCGUAGAUAUUAGGAGGAACACCGGUGGCGAAGGCGGCCUACUGGACGACAACUGACGGUGAGGCGCGAAAGCGUGGGGAGCAAACAGGAUUAGAUACCCCUGUAGUC
rnacentral:rRNA from 1 species